UACGUAGGGUGCAAGCGUUGUCCGGAAUUAUUGGGCGUAAAGAGCUCGUAGGCGGUUUGUCGCGUCGGCUGUGAAAACGCGAGGCUCAACCUCGCGCCUGCAGUGGGUACGGGCAGACUAGAGUGCGGUAGGGGAGAUUGGAAUUCCUGGUGUAGCGGUGGAAUGCGCAGAUAUCAGGAGGAACACCGAUGGCGAAGGCAGAUCUCUGGGCCGUAACUGACGCUGAGGAGCGAAAGCGUGGGGAGCGAACAGG
rnacentral:rRNA from 1 species